UUUUACCCGCGUUAGCGAUAGUAGUGACAUCCUUUUUUGAGGUACGAGAAAAAGAUAUAACGAAUAGCGCGACGCUUU
rnacentral:sRNA from 1 species